rnacentral:rRNA from 1 species
GUGCCAGCAGCCGCGGUAAUACAGAGGGUGCGAGCGUUAAUCGGAUUUACUGGGCGUAAAGCGUGCGUAGGCGGCCAUUUAAGUCAAAUGUGAAAUCCCCGAGCUUAACUUGGGAAUUGCAUUCGAUACUGGAUGGCUAGAGUAUGGGAGAGGAUGGUAGAAUUCCAGGUGUAGCGGUGAAAUGCGUAGAGAUCUGGAGGAAUACCGAUGGCGAAGGCAGCCAUCUGGCCUAAUACUGACGCUGAGGUACGAAAGCAUGGGGAGCAAACAGGAUUAGAUACCCUGGUAGUCC